UACAGAGGCCUCGAGCGUUAGGCGGAAUCACUGGGCUUAAAGCGUGUGUAGGUGGGAUGCCUAAGUGCCUUGUGAAAUCCCACGGCUUAACCGUGGAAUUGCUGGGCAUACUGGGUGGUCUUGAGCCACUCAGGGGCUACCGGAACAAAUGGUGGAGCGGUGAAAUGCGUAGAUAUCAAUUUGGAACGCCAAUGGGUGAAAACAGGUAGCUGGGGGGUGUGCUGACACGUGGAGACACGGAAAGCCAGGGGAGCAAACGGG
rnacentral:rRNA from 1 species